UACGGGGGGGGCAAGCGUUGUUCGGAAUUACUGGGCGUAAAGCGUGCGCAGGCGGUUAUGUAAGACAGAUGUGAAAUCCCCGGGCUCAACCUGGGAACUGCAUUUGUGACUGCAUAGCUGGAGUACGGUAGAGGGGGAUGGAAUUCCGCGUGUAGCAGUGAAAUGCGUAGAUAUGCGGAGGAACACCGAUGGCGAAGGCAAUCCCCUGGACCUGUACUGACGCUCAUGCACGAAAGCGUGGGGAGCAAACAGG
rnacentral:rRNA from 1 species